UACAGAGGACUCAAGCGUUGUUCGGAUUCAUUGGGCGUAAAGGGGGCGUAGGCGGCGCGGUAAGUCGGGUGUGAAAUCUCGGAGCUUAACUCCGAAACUGCAUUCGAUACUGCCGUGCUUGAGGACUGGAGAGGAGACUGGAAUUUACGGUGUAGUGGUGAAAUGCGUAGAUAUCGGGAGGAACACCCGUGGCGAAGGCGACUACCUGGCCUGUUCUUGACGCUGAGGCGCGAAAGCUAGGGGAGCAAACGGG
rnacentral:rRNA from 1 species